rnacentral:rRNA from 1 species
CCUACGGGAGGCAGCAGUGAGGAAUUUUCCGCAAUGGGCGAAAGCCCGACGGAGCAAUACCGCGUGAGGGAUGAAGGAUUUUGGUCUGUAAACCUCUUUUCUCAAGAAAGAAGUUCUGACGGUACUUGAGGAAUAAGCAUCGGCUAACUCCGUGCCAGCAGCCGCGGUAAUACGGGGGAUGCAAGCGUUAUCCGGAAUGAUUGGGCGUAAAGCGCCUGUAGGUUGUUUAUUAAGUCCGUUGUUAAAGCCUAGGGCUCAACCCUAGAAAAGCAAUGGAAACUAGUAGACUAGAGUAUGGCAGGGGUAGAGGGAAUUUCUAGUGUAGCGGUGAAAUGCGUAGAUAUUAGAAAGACACCGGUGGCGAAAGCGCUCUACUGGACCAUUACUGACACUCAGAGGCGAAAGCUAGGGUAGCAAAGGGAUUAGAUACCCCUGUAGUCCUAGCCGUAAACGAUGGAUACUAGAUGUUGUGCAUUAUGUACAGUAUCGUAGCUAACGCGUUAAGUAUCCGCCUGGGAGUACGCUCGCAAGGGUGAACUUAA